rnacentral:antisense_RNA from 2 species
GUAGGAGUGAGCCUGCUCGCGAUAGCGGUCUAUCAGUCAGAUCUAAAUUGACUGACCCACCACUAUCGCGAGCAGGCUCACUCCUAC